rnacentral:rRNA from 1 species
UUGAACGCUGGCGGCAGGCCUAACACAUGCAAGUCGCACGGUAACAGGAAGCAGCUUGCUGCUUUGCUGACGAGUGGCGGACGGGUGAGUAAUGUCUGGGAAACUGCCCGAUGGAGGGGGAUAACUACUGGAAACGGUAGCUAAUACCGCAUAACGUCGCAAGACCAAAGAGGGGGACCUUAGGGCCUCUUGCCAUCGGAUGUGCCCAGAUGGGAUUAGCUAGUAGGUGGGGUAACGGCUCACCUAGGCGACGAUCCCUAGCUGGUCUGAGAGGAUGACCAGCCACACUGGAACUGAGACACGGUCCAGACUCCUACGGGAGGCAGCAGUGGGGAAUAUUGCACAAUGGGCGCAAGCCUGAUGCAGCCAUGCCGCGUGUAUGAAGAAGGCCUUCGGGUUGUAAAGUACUUUCAGCGGGGAGGAAGGGAGUAAAGUUAAUACCUUUGCUCAUUGACGUUACCCGCAGAAGAAGCACCGGCUAACUCCGUG